rnacentral:rRNA from 1 species
CCUACGGGGGGCAGCAGUGGGGAAUAUUGCACAAUGGGCGCUAGCCUGAUGCAGCCAUGCCGCGUGUGUGAAGAAGGCCUUCGGGUUGUAAAGCACUUUCAGCGGGGAGGUAGGCGCUAAGGUUAAUAACCUUAGCGAUUGACGUUACCCGCAGAAGACGCACCGGCUAACUCCGUGCCAGCAGCUGCGGUAAUACGGAGGGUGCAAGCGUUAAUCGGAAUUACUGGGCGUAAAGCGCACGCAGGCGGUCUGUCAAGUCGGAUGUGAAAUCCCCGGGCUCAACCUGGGAACUGCAUUCGAAACUGGCAGGCUAGAGUAUUGUAGAGGGAGGUAGAAUUCCAGGUGUAGCGGUGAAAUGCGUAGAGAUCUGGAGGAAUACCGAUGGCGAAGGCGGCCCCCUGGACAAAGACUGACGCUGAGGUGCGAAAGCGUGGGGAGCAAACAGGAUUAGAUACCCUAGUAGUC